UACGUAGGCAGCAAGCGUUGUUCGGAAUUACUGGGCGUAAAGGGCUCGUAGGCGGCCAACUAAGUCAGACGUGAAAUCCCUCGGCUUAACCGGGGAACUGCAUCUGAUACUGGAUGGCUUGAGUUCGGGAGAGGGAUGUGGAAUUCCAGGUGUAGCGGUGAAAUGCGUAGAUAUCGGGAGGAACACCAGUGGCGAAGGCGACUACCUGGCCUGUUCUUGACGCUGAGGCGCGAAAGCUAGGGGAGCAAACGGG
rnacentral:rRNA from 1 species